UCUCCGUUGGAGAACCAGCGGAGGGAUCAUUACAGGACUCGCAAGACUCCUACAACCCUGUGAACUUAACUAUAAGCACGUUGCUUCGGCGGGUGUCUCGGAGGGGGUUCUCCCUCCCCGAGACGCUAAACCCGCCGGCAGCCUACUAUACUCUGUCUCUUUGCGUUGGCAUCUCGAGUACAAUCAAACAAGUUAAAACUUUCAACAACGGAUCUCUUGGUUCUG
rnacentral:misc_RNA from 1 species